rnacentral:rRNA from 1 species
AUUGAACGCUGGCGGCAUGCCUUACACAUGCAAGUCGAACGGCAGCACGGGGGCAACCCUGGUGGCGAGUGGCGAACGGGUGAGUAACAUAUCGGAACAUACCCUAGAGUGGGGGAUAACGUAGCGAAAGUUACGCUAAUACCGCAUACGAUCUAAGGAUGAAAGUGGGGGAUCUUCGGACCUCAUGCUCAUGGAGUGGCCGAUAUCUGAUUAGCUAGUUGGUGAGGUAAAGGCUCACCAAGGCGACGAUCAGUAGCUGGUUUGAGAGAACGACCAGCCACACUGGAACUGAGACACGGUCCAGACUCCUACGGGAGGCAGCAGUGGGGAAUUUUGGGACAAUGGGGGCAACCCUGAUCCAGCAAUGCCGCGUGAGUGAAGAAGGACCUUCGGG